UUAAAUUGAAGAGUUUGAUCAUGGCUCAGAUUGAACGCUGGCGGCAGGCCUAACACAUGCAAGUCGAACGGUAACAGGAAUCAGCUUGCUGAUUCGCUGACGAGUGGCGGACGGGUGAGUAAUGUCUGGGAAACUGCCUGAUGGAGG
rnacentral:rRNA from 2 species